UGUGUGUGUGUGUGUGUGUGUGUGUGUGUGUGUGUGUGUGAGUGUGUGAGAGUGUGAGAGUGUGUGACUGUGUGACUGUGUGACUGUGUGAGAGGGAGAGAGGGGGAGAGAGUGCGAGGGACUCCUACACGUUUCAUCCAACCGCAUUCUCUCGUCUGUUCAACCUCGGUUUUUUUUUUCUGCAAAUGGGUUAGAAUCCCUCUUUUAUUUUCUCCUUUCUUCUUAAAAUCGACCCAAUCCGACGCUAUGAACGGAAGAGGCAGCUGAUCGGGUCUGUACCUUCCGAACGUUUAUUUUUGUUAGAAUGUAGCAACCAUCCAGGGGGUCCGAUCUAUCGUAGGGUUUAUAUAUGUGAUCACCACCUGUCUUUGGAAGUUUGGACUCCUCCACAUCACCAUCGUCACCAGCAGCAUCCUACAUCUGAUCGAGUCGAUUUGCAUUCACGCACUACUCCAACCAUGCCGGCGGGUAUGAAGCCGCUGGAGAAGUUCUUGAAAAAGCAGACCACCGCUCUGACGCGGGCCGGGGGCUUCGGCGGGGCGGACAAGGCCAGCGGUACCGGGGGAUCCCGGAGGAGGGCCAGCCUGUCCCGGGUGGUACCGUUCUUUAGGGAGACUUCACCGGAGAGCGGACAGGCGCGGGAGGUUUUCAGCCCGGACACAGAGGAGCCCCCCUGCUGGCCCCUGGCCACAGGGGCCACCCUUGCUAUGGCCCCUGGCUCCGGAGGGCCCGGGUUCGGUGGUUCCAGCGCUGGUGGAGGUGGAGGUGGAGGCGGGGACGUACGCAGCCCGUCGCUCUCCAGUGACGAGCAGAGCUCCGAGGCCAGCCUGGUCACUGACGCCUCAAGCGGAG
ensembl:lncRNA